GGCUUAAAAGAUUACAGUGGAGUAAACACAGCUCCUCUCUGGCCAAAAUCCUCCAUCAAGCCAGCCGUCUGGCCCUCUUCUCCCUCCACACCCAUUGUUUCUGAGAACGACGUAGAGAAACUCAGCUGCAGAACAUCCAUCACGCUACUUGCUGGUUUCAGUCUUAUGGUGUUUGCAGCCGUCUCAGCGACUCUGCUUGUGUUCUUUCUAAAGAAUCGGAAGAAAUAAUCCACAGAUAAAUCUGGAACUUGCAGUUCUCUCAACACCAUGGUAAGCAGUUUAUGCAUAUUUUUUCAUCCAUCAAGUGGCUGGCAUAAUGGGGAUAUUUCGAAACAUCAUAAAACCCAUGUCCUAUAAAUAUGGUUCACUUUGCUUCACAGGAAGUGACAUAUAUUCUGCAGAACAACAGAACAAUCCAUCUAAUGGAUUAUGUUACCAACUACAAUUUUUGUCAUGUAAUUUGUAAUCAGUAACUGACUACAAUUUGCAAUCUACCCAGCACUGAAAAUAGGUUCAAAUAAAUAUUUUUAAAACUCUCAGAUAUAAUCAAAUCACAGUCCAAUAUCUUU